rnacentral:rRNA from 1 species
AAAAACAUAGCCUUUUGAAUUUAUAAAAGGUAAUGCCUGCCCAGUGGUUCUUCUAAACGGCCGCGGUAUCUUGACCGUGCAAAGGUAGCAUAAUCAUUUGUUUCUUAAAUAGAGACCUGUAUGAAUGGCUAAACAUUUUCUAACUGUCUCCUUUCUUUAUUUUUUAAACUUCUAUAAACGUGAUGAAGCGUUAAUAAAAAAGAAAGACGAGAAGACCCUGUCAAGCUUAAACUUAAUAAUAAACACUUUAUUCUAAUAGAUAUAGCAAUUAUUAUAAAUUUAGUUUUGGUUGGGGCAACCAUGGAGUAAAAUAAUCCUCCAUUAUUUUAAAAUGAGAUUACAUCAUUUAAAUAUAUUAAUAAACCAGGAACUCUGGAUAUAGAAAUAGUUACUGCAGGGAUAACAGCGUUAUCUCCUUUAAGAGUUCAUAUUGACAAGGAAGUUUGCGACCUCGAUGUUGGAUUGGGACUACCAAAAGGUGCAGCAGCUUUUUAGAGUUGGACUGUUCGUCCAUUAAUUUCCCACGUGAUCU